AUUGAACGCUGGCGGAAUGCUUUACACAUGCAAGUCGAACGGCAGCACGGGGGCAACCCUGGUGGCGAGUGGCGAAUGGGUGAGUAAUACAUCGGAACGUGCCCGGUCGUGGGGGAUAACGUAGCGAAAGUUACGCUAAUACCGCAUACGAUCUGAGGAUGAAAGCGGGGGACCUUCGGGCCUCGCGCGAUCGGAGCGGCCGAUGUCAGAUUAGGUAGUUGGUGGGGUAAAGGCCUACCAAGCCGACGAUCUGUAGCUGGUCUGAGAGGACGACCAGCCACACUGGGACUGAGACACGGCCCAGACUCCUACGGGAGGCAGCAGUGGGGAAUUUUGGACAAUGGGCGCAAGCCUGAUCCAGCCAUUCCGCGUGCAGGACGAAGGCCUUCGGGUUGUAAACUGCUUUUGUAUGGAACGAAAAGGCUCUGGCUAAUACCUGGGGCUCAUGACGGUACCGUAAGAAUAAGCACCGGCUAACUACGUG
rnacentral:rRNA from 1 species